UAUCACGGCAUCACCGAUGAGGACAUGCAAAGGAAGACCCUCAGGAUCUCCGUCUGUGAUGAGGACAAAUUUGGCCACAAUGAAUUUAUUGGUGAGACCAGAUUCUCCCUCAAGAAACUGAAGCCCAACCAGAGGAAGAAUUUCAACAUCUGCCUGGAGCGAGUGAUUCCUAUGAAACGUGCUGGGACCACCGGGUCAGCCCGAGGCAUGGCCCUUUAUGAGGAGGAGCAGGUGGAGCGUGUUGGUGACAUCGAGGAGCGUGGCAAGAUCCUGGUCUCCCUCAUGUACAGCACACAGCAGGGAGGCCUCAUUGUGGGCAUCAUACGCUGCGUGCACCUGGCUGCCAUGGACGCUAAUGGCUACUCAGACCCAUUCGUCAAGCUGUAAGUCAAUGCCUUGGGGCUACAGGUGGGCCCUGAAGGAGUCCUGGAGCCUUGGAAAAGGAGAACCAGAGAGUUUCACCAAGAUCGUUGUACACUGAGACCCAGAGAGGGCAAGGAACCUGCCCAAGGUCACAGUGAAACAAAUGCCUACAACUGGCAAGAAUGUGGGUCUGGAGUCUCAGGCA
rnacentral:sRNA from 1 species